AGCUAACGUUAGCAGCUAGCGUUACCAAGAUAACGUAAAUCGAACAAGUCCCUUUUCCAACGCGAAUUAAAGACUACAGGGGGUGAAAACCAUCACUCCCCAAUCAGUCAACAAUCAAUCAUCAAUCAGAAGACACACCUCCUCCUAUUUCCUACCCUAUCACAGUUCCUUCCCCAUGGUUUAAAAACCCCAUCAUUUGUUUGCUCUGGAGCAAUCUCUCGCUCAAUCUCUAGCUCAAUCUCUCUGUAAAUGCCAUGUCUGUAGGUCUCUGUGUUUCACUCUCGCUUUGUGUCUUAACCUCUCUUUUGUUUAAAGCACCUCCAUAGCACUUUGUCAUCACCUGUGAGUAUUGUUUUUGGUUAUGGUGUUUGUGUGUUGCUGGUGGGAAAAGGGGGAAACCAAGACAAGUCGCCCAUGGGCAUACACUACCCGUAGGUGAACUUUGUUAAACACACUAGUUAGAACUGGGCGGACCACCCACUGUAUUUUUGGUUAGUUAGUUAGCUGUUGUUAAAGUAGGCUAGUCUAGCUUAGGGGUGUUUUUGAAUAUUUAUUGUUUCUUUCCUUGGGUCCAGCUCAGCCCCCUUUCCUGCUCCCCCCAUUACCGUGUGUUUAUAAAUAAACCUAGAGUUUGACGGUA